AGCAGUCGUGGCCGAGUGGUUAAGGCGUUGGACUCGAAAUCCAAUGGGGUCUCCCUGCACGUCUCCCCGACGUUU